rnacentral:lncRNA from 1 species
UAUGUUAUAAAAAGUUUUUCCUAUACUAUUAUGAAUGGCCAAAUGAAUUAUAAAGAAGUUUUUUAGCAAUCACAAACAUACUCCACCUUGUUGUAAGCAAAUUGAUAACCGGUAAAUAAAUUGAUUAUCAGGUUGCACUUUACUCUUAUAGUGGACAAGUAAUUGAGUGAUUGCAUUGUCUUUAACAUCUAAUCUAUGCUUAGUUUAGGAUUUUAAAGUUUUAAGUGUUUUUAGUACUUUGGAACAAGUAUAAUUAUACACAAGUACAUUUUCAACAUCAUCACAUAUUCAUCAAAUUUUACCAAGCAUGUAAUUCAUCACGUUCACCAAUGCACAUAAAUCACCAAGGUUCAUCAAGCACAUAAAUAAAUACGACACAUUUAAUCAAUUAUCAAAUGUAUGUAAUGCGCCUAAACACGACUUUAUAUGCAUGCGCUACCGGUUGUCGUCAUUUGAAUACAAAGUAUUAUUUUCGUCCUCGUUAGAUAUAAUAUCCUAGUCGUCUUCAUUGGAUGUAAAUAUCCUACUUAUGAAUAUAUGAACAUAUGACUCAACAAUGCAUACGCUCAACAAAAAAUCGUCAUCAUUUUUGUAACACUCCGUUUUCCCAACAUAAAAAUUUCAUAAAAAUAAUCAGAGUAUUCGCAUAAACGGAAAGGC